rnacentral:lncRNA from 1 species
AAAUUGCCAAAUAUCCGAGAAAUAAAUAAAUCUCAGGAAAAGAAAUAAAUGAUCAACAGAUAAUUCAUCGCAUGCUUUUCAAUUAAAAUAAAGGUCCACUCACAAAUUAGGCCUAAGCCUGAUGACGCUCCGAGGCUUCCUCUGCUCGGGCCUCCUCUCGUCCUGUUCCAAAUAUAUAAUUAAUUUCCCACCAAAAAUCCAAUAAUUAAACAAAAUGGGCAAAAUUAAACGUGAGCCUCCCACACACUCAUCAUUGCCCAAAUUCGCCAUUCUUAACUCAAUACGGCUCAAACUUCGCCGAACAUACCGGCAGCCGUAAAAACAACUUCCCACAGAAUACAACUUAAUUGCUACGGCCGGAUUCUACAUUAAUUAACCACAAAAAAUACCAAACUUCGGAAAUUCACAAACCUAUCCAAAACUCAUCCAAAAAUUUCAUAACUCACUUCAAUAAACUCCCCUUAAUAUUCCAAAUCUAAAAACAUUAAAAUCUCCCAAACAGCUCCGGCGCCGGUGCCGGCUCCGCCGGCAGCGGCGGCCGGAGGCCGAUUUCGGCGAUUUCCAAUUCCUAUGAAAUUUUAACAGCAUCUUCCUCUCAUCAUGCUCUACAACUUUCCUAACUAGCACAAACCCAAAAUCCAAGCCUAGCUAUGCCAAUCGAACAAAAACAUCAAAAACGCCCUAGAGCUUCCACCUCAAAUUUCUCCUUACCUGAAGCAAACCGGAGUGAGUCCUUUUAGGGCAAGGCAGCUGGGUUGGAGACCUACAAAACCAUACUAAGCUUGCCCGGAUUGGUGGCCGGAGGAGGGAGUUCCGGCAAAAUGCUUCCCGGCAUCUCCGGCGGGAUUUCUCCUCUUCCGGCGGGUUAGAGGCUCGGGGGCUAGGCCGGGGAGGGAGAGGAGGUGAUGGGGGUCCGAACUGGGGUGGAGUGGUGGCUGGUGGCUGGUCGGACGGCGGCAGCUGGCAGCUGGAAGUUUUCCGGCGGAGAGGGGCUCGGGGGAACUCAAGGGAGAAAGAGAGAAGAAUGAGGGGAAGAAGAAAAAAAAACAAAGGGGGAGGCUUUGCACAGCCGGUCCAGCUACAAAAACCCCAUACAAAAACAAAAUAAUACNNNNNNNNNNNNNNNNNNNNAGUCAACGGUUAUUCAACACGGUAAAAGACUAAAAUAAUACCAAAGUAAAUAACCGUAAAAUAACUUAAGAACCGGGGUGUGACAGCGCACGAAACUACCGUUCACCACCGUCGUCGGCGCUGGACGGUGGCGAACGGAGCUCCGUGCUCACUUACGCACGUGCGCUUCAUAUCCGGGCCUCUAUAUAUAUAUAUAUAUAGAUCCUUCCACAAAGGGAUCCUUUUUUUUGACAUAUAUGAAGGAUCGGGGAUUACACCAACUGGGUUCGAAAGCAAAAUCUGGGUUCAAAGGUUUUCAAUUCGCCAAACCAGCAAAAGCUUUUAUAUGUUUUUGUAAACUCAAUUCAACAUCCAAACCUCAUUCACCCUUAUUGCUAUUUGAACAGGGGAUUCACAUGCAUGUUCAAAACCACUUAUCCAAAACCAAAUCAGCCUAACCAUCAUCACCAUAACCGAUUCAAGCUCGUCAUAUUCUAUCAUCACCACCAUCUAUCACCAAACCAAUUCAUCUUCUUCCUUGAUUGAGAAUACCCAGAAAUCAAUACCCAUAUAUGUAUUCACAUAUAUGAUAUGACUCAAAACGCACACGGCUCGGAUCUAUUGGUGUCUCUAACUAUUUAUCAUGGUUCGAGUUGUGUUACUACCAUGAGGUCUUUUCUUAUAGCAUUGGGUCGUAAAUGAUUCGACUCAAUCCAAAUUCAUCAAAAGCCUUUGAUUAUGGUGCUUGUUACGGUUGUUAAGGCAAUUGAUUUUGACAAGACCUAAUAACAAAAGUUAAAAUAUCACGAAUUAAAAGCAAAUAUAUCAGGUUUUUGUGUGUCAACACGCCAACACACAUUAGAUAAAGGGUACCCUUAAAUAAACGGAUUAUUUGCAUGUGCUUGUUAACAGAAAUAAGAGACUUGAUUAAUGAGACCUCAUAAUACAUGUAUCAGUUAACACAAAUAAUACCAUGACGAAACCUCCACAAUCAGGUCCCGGUAACAGCUCAGCGAGGGAGAUUUAUUUUUCAGUUUUCUAUCGAGGACGAAUGCCGCAAAAUUCUGGAAUGAGGACCUUAGUUUAUCGGCAAAGCAACUCUUGCCCUUGCCUCAUACGAUGGUGUCCAGCUUUUCAUAGAUAUUUGAGAGUUUCUACUCUAGUUUGGGUUGAACUGUUUGGCCUUCCUCCUCGUUUGCAUAUUGAGAAAGUCGUUGAAUGGAUUGGAGCGACGUUGGGGUCGGUCCUGUAUAUCGAAAAACCAUGUUUGCGUGACGACAAGGUUAGGGUUAGGGGUAGGGUUGGCCAUUUUUUCUCUUCUUAGGUGCAUGUUGGGAUAAUUCUAAAGAACAUAGAAAUAAGGAAGAAGAAGAUAACUCAAACUUUUAUUUCAUUCAUCCAUAACCGAUUUCCAUCUUUUUACCUACUACAAACUUAAAUAACUGCAUCUAAAUAACUACCUAUGAUGGGCUUGAUGGGCCAUAACCUUCAUACUACAAGCUGGGUCAAAUCUAUAAGGAGAAGUCCUACUACAAACGACGUCGACCUAUUGCAGUGAACAAAUAGAUGCCUACCUACAUAUGAUAAUUGGGAAUAUAUUGAGAAGUGAUCCCAUCAGUGCAACAUACAUGUAUAUCCUUCCUAAGUUUUUGAUUUUGAUAGAUUUGAAGCUUAUUUGUUUUAAUUACGUGCGCUUGGUUGGCUAUUGUCAUACCUGUAGUUAUUUUGAUCGUGUUGAUGCUACGCCGGAAGCUGAAUUCAGUUGAGAACCCUAACCCUAGGGUCUUAGGGCCUAAUCUGUUUGGUGGGUUGAAUGAAAGUUCAAGGCUAGGACUUUCAUCUUAGGCAGCCAAGUCUGGUCCCCCCGACAUUUACUAUCUCAAGCAUGGUCGUAGUUGUUGGUUUUCGAUCAUUCUGUUAAGCUUUGGCUCUUUUUGUAACUAGGUAACAUGUUUUUAGUUUACAAAACGUCGAUUGUUUUGCUUUCGGUUCCUUAUCUUGUAGGGCUUUAUAAGCCACCAGUUUGUUUUCAAUUCAAUAAAAGAAAUCAUUCUCCCAAUACUGAGAGUUUUAUUGGUUUGAGUUCAGAAUAGAUGCUUUAUGCAUUUUCGUAGUGUUGUUUGUCCACUUUUCUAGACGUAGUUUUUUCUUUUUUUGUAGAUUUCCUUAAGCUGUUUAGUUGUAGUCGAAUAAUGAGUUUGCUCUUAGGUUGUAUUGGAGUUUGCUCUUGCCUGAUCUAGCAAUAGUUGGUCGUAUGGCCUUUUCGGCCACUAAAAUAUAUUCAUUAUUGUCAAAAAAAAAAAAAAAACAACACAUUAGAUAACAUGGCAGCUCAUGUGCGGGACUAAAAAUGCGGUACAGAAAGGGACAAAAUAAUGACAACCAUUUGGAUUUUUAAUGAGACAAUCUAACGGACACAGAAUCAUAACCCUUAAACCCGAAUUAUCACAUACCCAUCACCCUAAAGCGCCUCUUUCUUUGGCCAAACUGCUCCUAUUCGGACUACUUACAUAUGUAAGCCACCGGUUUGUUUUCAAUUCAAUAAGAGAAAUCAUUCUCCCAAUACUGAGAGUUUCAUUGCUUUGAGUUCUUGCUUUUAACAGUUUUGGUAUCAGAGCCCCAUCAAGGGCCUGAUCAAGAGUGGUUAGGAAUCACAACUUCCUAACGAGAAUGUGAAGGAAAGGAAGGAGAGAAAAGGUAAAAAAGAGAUAGCGACAGAAGGAGGGAACUUUGUCACUACGACUAUUGGGUGAUGUUUAUGGAGAAUUUUCUCCGGUCAAAGGAGUAUUGGCAUCUGGUGGAGAUAGGGAUGAAAGCGUAAAUCUGAAACACUCCAUAUAAUUACAUACAAAC